CCCAUCUCGAACACGGAAGUGAAACGUCACAGCUCCGAUGGUAGUGCUUGUAUAGCUUGCGCGAGAGUAGGUCGUUGCCAGAG
rnacentral:rRNA from 1 species